rnacentral:rRNA from 1 species
UACGAAGGGGGCUAGCGUUGCUCGGAAUUACUGGGCGUAAAGCGCACGUAGGCGGUCUUUUAAGUCGGGGGUGAAAUCCUGGAGCUCAACUCCAGAACUGCCUUCGAUACUGGAAGACUUGAGUCCGGGAGAGGUGAGUGGAACUGCGAGUGUAGAGGUGAAAUUCGUAGAUAUUCGCAAGAACACCAGUGGCGAAGGCGGCUCACUGGCCCGGUACUGACGCUGAGGUGCGAAAGCGUGGGGAGCAAACCGG